GUACGUACUGGCGUCAUUGGUUUCUCCUUUCUGACGAACCAUGAUGUCAUUAAUUUGGUGUUAUGGGGAGUUAGGACUGUUACUUUGAAAAAAUUAGAGUGUUUAAAGCAGGCAUUAGCUUGAAUACAUUAGCAUGGAAUAAUGAAAUAGGACGUUCGAUCCUAUUUUGUUGGUUUCUAGGAUCAACGUAAUGAUUAAUAGGGAUAGUUGGGGGCAUUAGUAUUCAAUUGUCAGAGGUGAAAUUCUUGGAUUUAUUGAAGACUAACUACUGCGAAAGCAUUUGCCAAGGAUGUUUUCAUUAAUCAAGAACGAAAGUUAGGGGAUCGAAGACGAUCAGAUACCGUCGUAGUCUUAACCAUAAACUAUGCCGACUAGGGAUCGGAUGAUGUUAAUUUUUUAAUGACUCAUUCGGCGCCUUACG
rnacentral:rRNA from 1 species